rnacentral:rRNA from 1 species
UACGGAGGGUGCAAGCGUUAAUCGGAUUCAUUGGGCGUAAAGAGCACGUAGGCGGAGUGGAAAGUUAGAUGUGAAAUCCCGGGGCUCAACUCCGGACCCGCAUCUAAAACUCCCAUUCUAGAGGAUGGACGGAGAAAAGGGAAUUCCACGUGUAGCGGUGAAAUGCGUAGAUAUGUGGAAGAACACCGGUGGCGAAGGCGCUUUUCUAGUUUAUUCCUGACGCUGAGGUGCGAAAGCAAGGGGAGCAAACAGG